GACGAACGCUGGCGGCGUGCCUAAUACAUGCAAGUAGAACGCUGAAGAGAGGAGCUUGCUCUUCUUGGAUGAGUUGCGGACGGGUGAGUAACGCGUAGGUAACCUGCCUUGUAGCGGGGGAUAACUAUUGGAAACGAUAGCUAAUACCGCAUAACAAUGGAUGACACAUGUCAUUUAUUUGAAAGGGGCAAUUGCUCCACUACAAGAUGGACCUGCGUUGUAUUAGCUAGUAGGUGAGGUAACGGCUCACCUAGGCGACGAUACAUAGCCGACCUGAGAGGGUGAUCGGCCACCCUGGGACUGAGACACGGCCCAGACUCCUACGGGAGGCAGCAGUAGGGAAUCUUCGGCAAUGGGGGCAACCCUGACCGAGCAACGCCGCGUGAGUGAAGAAGGUUUUCGGAUCGUAAAGCUCUGUUGUAAGUCAAGAACGAGUGUGAGAGUGGAAAGUUCACACUGUGACGGUAGCUUACCAGAAAGGGACGGCUAACUACGUG
rnacentral:rRNA from 1 species